CUACAUCAGUUAUCACAGGAUCAGGAAUGAAGGGAAAGUUGUUUGAGCAACCCUUAAGCAACGGAGGCUGCCGACAUCAUGCAUCAUUAGUCAUCUGUCAUACCUGAAAGGAAUAUUGCAACAGACUUGAACUUAUCAUCUCUAAUCUGCCUUUUUUGUGUUCUUCAUUAUAAUCUCCAAUCAUUUUCUGUUGAACACUAUUGGAAUGGACUAAUAUUCUUCAAGAUAA